GUGCUAGCUUUGGCAGCACAUAUAGUAAAAUUGGAAUGAUACACAAAAAAUUAGCAUGUCCUCUGUGCAAAAAUGACACUCAAAUUUGUGAAGCAUUCCAUAAUUUA